CUGAUGCAGCCAUGCCGCGUGUGUGAAGAAGGCCUUCGGGUUGUAAAGCACUUUCAGCGAGGAGGAAAGGUUGGCGCCUAAUACCUGUCGGCUGUGACGUUACUCGCAGAAGAAGCACCGGCUAACUCCGUGCCAGCAGCCGCGGUAAUAC
rnacentral:rRNA from 1 species